rnacentral:rRNA from 1 species
GACUGCAGGCUGAAACUCGCCUGCACGAAGUUGGAAUUGCUAGUAAUCGCGGAUCAGCAUGCCGCGGUGAAUACGUUCCCGGGUCUUGUACACACCGCCCGUCACACCAUGGGAGCUGGUAACACCCGAAGUCAGUAGUCUAACCGCAAGGAGGACGCUGCCGAAGGUGGGAUUAGCGACUGGGGUGAAGUCGUAACAAGGUAAC